UGGGGAAUAUUGCACAAUGGAGGGAACUCUGAUGCAGCGACGCCGCGUGAACGAAGAAGGCUUUCGAGUCGUAAAGUUCUUUUAUAUGGGAAGAUAAUGACGGUACCAUAAGAAGAAGCCCCGGCUAACUACGUGCCAGCAGCCGCGGUAAUACGUAGGGGGCUAGCGUUGUCCGGAAUCACUGGGCGUAAAGGGUUCGCAGGCGGAAAUGCAAGUCAGGUGUAAAAGGCAGUAGCUUAACUACUGUAAGCAUUUGAAACUGCAUAUCUUGAGAAGAGUAGAGGUAAGUAGAAUUUUUAGUGUAGCGGUGAAAUGCGUAGAUAUUAAAAAGAAUACCGGUGGCUAAGGCGACUUACUGGGCUCAUUCUGACGCUGAGGAACGAAAGCGUGGGUAGCAAACAGG
rnacentral:rRNA from 1 species